rnacentral:tRNA from 1 species
ACAUCGGUAGNNGCUCAGUUGGUAGAGCAACGCAUUCGUAAUGCGUGGGUCGCGGGUUCGAGUCCCGCUCGUGGCU